rnacentral:rRNA from 1 species
CAAUAGCGUAUAUUAACGUUGUUGCAGUUAAAAAGCACGUAGUUGGAUUUCUGGAGGGAGCGUCGGCCCGUAUUUACGAGUGCGUGACGUCUCUGUCCAUCCUUGCGGGAAGGCACGGCAUUGAUUUGUUGUGUCGGAUCGCAUCAUUUACUGUGAAAAAAUUAGAGUGUUCAAAGCAGGCUUUCGCUUGAAUACAUUAGCAUGGAAUAAUAAGAUACGACUCGUAUGGUUUAUUUUGUUGGUUUGCACAUAUGAGUAAUGAUUAAUAGGGACAGUUGGGGGUAUUCAUAUUUGAGCGUCAGAGGUGAAAUUCUUGGAUCGCUGAAAGAUGAGCUAAGGCGAAAGCAUUUACCAAGGAUGUUUUCAUUAA